AAAUAAAACUCAAUCUCAGAUCGAUCGCACAGGCGCCGCCGCUCUCCACCGAGAUCUGCAAUCGAAGCGAGGAUGAGCGUCGUCGGGUUCGAUUUCGGCAACGAGAGCUGCAUCGUCGCCGUCGCGCGGCAGCGCGGCAUCGAUGUCGUCCUCAAUGAUGAGUCGAAACGUGAGACCCCCGCCAUCGUCUGCUUCGGCGACAAACAGCGCUUCAUCGGCACCGCCGGCGCUGCAUCAUCCAUGAUGAACCCGAAGAACUCGAUCUCCCAGAUCAAGCGCUUGCUCGGCCGCAGAUUCUCGGAUCCCGAGCUGCAGCGCGACAUCCAGUCCCUUCCUUUCAAGGUCACGGAAGGGCCAGAUGGUUUCCCUCUCAUCCACGCAAACUACCUCAGCGAGCAGCGUGCUUUCACCCCGACGCAGGUUCUCGGGAUGAUUCUCUCCAACUUGAAGGACAUCGCGCAGAAAAAUCUCAACGCUGCUGUCGUCGACUGCUG
rnacentral:misc_RNA from 1 species